rnacentral:rRNA from 1 species
GUCCACGCCGUAAACGGUGGGCGCUAGGUGUGGGUUUCCUUCCACGGGAUCCGUGCCGUAGCUAACGCAUUAAGCGCCCCGCCUGGGGAGUACGGCCGCAAGGCUAAAACUCAAAGGAAUUGACGGGGCCCGCACAAGCGGCGGAGCAUGCGGAUUAAUUCGAUGCAACGCGAAGAACCUUACCAAGGCUUGACAUAUACCGGAAAAGUGCAGAGAUGUGCUCCCCGCAAGGUCGGUAUACAGGUGGUGCAUGGUUGUCGU